rnacentral:rRNA from 1 species
GACGUAGGGCGCGAGCGUUGUCCGGAUUUAUUGGGCGUAAAGAGCUCGUAGGCGGUCUGUCGCGUCGGAUGUGAAAACCCAGGGCUCAACCCUGGGCCUGCAUUCGAUACGGGCAGACUAGAGUUCGGUAGGGGAGACUGGAAUUCCUGGUGUAGCGGUGAAAUGCGCAGAUAUCAGGAGGAACACCGGUGGCGAAGGCGGGUCUCUGGGCAGAAACUGACGCUGAGGAGCGAAAGCGUGGGGAGCAAACAGG